rnacentral:misc_RNA from 1 species
UGCGCGUCAUGUGUUGGUUACAGUUCGACGGAUUCGUAGGUCGCGGAGUAAUCCGGCAUGCGGUGCAGGCACCGGAGCACGCUCUCGGCCACCUGCUUGGUGGCGGCGUCGCCCUUGUGGAAGGCGCCCACCAGCAGGCUCGGCAGCGCCCGAUCGCUGGUGACCUCCCUCACGCACCGCUCGCUGCCGUGAGCCAGGAACCUCUCCACCGCCCAGAAACACCUCCGAGUGACCGUCUCGCCUGCGGCAGCGCCGCCGCCCCCUCUCCGCCCGUCGUCACGGUGCUGCCGCAGCGCGCGAAGCACGUGCCGCGCCGCGUCGUGCUCCGCGAGCACGGCCACGCCGCUCGUCACGUCCACCGCGUCGUCCAUGAGCGUGCACAGCGCACCGAGCGCGGCCUCCACCACGCGCCCGUUCUCGCUGCUCUCCAGGACGCACAAGAGGCCCUCCACCGCGCCAGCCUCCACCAGGCAGAACGUGGUGGACGGGGAACACACCCCACGGUGCACCGGGCAAACCCGGCUGUGCGCCGGCGGCCUCCGGUUGUCGUGCACCCGCCCCGCGUGCGCCUCGCGCAGGCGCCGGAGGAUGUUCUUCUUCUUCGGGCGCCGCUCCUCGGUCGGGGGCUGGGAAAGGUUGGGCGACUGGCUGCUGAGGUUCUCGAGACCAAUCGCGGCGAGCCGCUGGACCUCGUCGCUGCCUGCGGACCGCACGAGAUCUGUGAGCACCGACGUGAGGUUGUGAUCCA